CACGUAGGAGGCGAGCGUUAUUCGGAUUUACUGGGCGUAAAGCGCGUGUAGGCGGCUUGUUAAGCGAGGAGUGAAAUCUGGGGGCUCAACCCGCAGCUUGCUUCUCGAACUGGCAGGCUUGAGUCUGGUAGAGGAAAGUGGAAUUCCUGGUGUAGCGGUGAAAUGCGCAGAUAUCAGGAGGAACACCAGUGGCGAAGGCGGCUUUCUGGCUGGUAACUGACGCUGAGGUGCGAAAGCUAGGGGAGCGAACGGG
rnacentral:rRNA from 1 species